AUUGAACGCUGGCGGCAGGCUUAACACAUGCAAGUCGAGCGGGGUGAUGGUGCUUGCACUAUCACUUAUCGGCGGACGGGUGAGUAAUGCUUAGGAAUCUGCCUAUUAGUGGUGGACAACAUCUCGAAAGGGAUGCUAAUACCGCAUACGUCCUAUGGGAGAAAGCAGAGGAUCACUUGUGACAUUGCGCUAAUAGAUGAGCGUAAGUCGGAUUAGCUAGUUGGUGGGGUAAAGGCCUACCAAGGCGACGAUCUGUAGCGGGUCUGAGAGGAUGAUCCGCCACACUGGGACUGAGACACGGCCCAGACUCCUACGGGAGGCAGCAGUGGGGAAUAUUGGACAAUGGGGGGAACCCUGAUCCAGCCAUGCCGCGUGUGUGAAGAAGGCCUUAUGGUUGUAAAGCACUUUAAGCGAGGAGGAGGCUCUUUUGGUUAAUACCCAAGAUGAGUGUACGUUACUCGCAGAAUAAGCACCGGCUAACUCUGUGCCAGCCGCCGCAGUAA
rnacentral:rRNA from 1 species